GGCCUAGUGGUUAGCACGUGGUUAGCACGUUCGCCUCACACCUCCAGGGUCCGGGGCUCGAUUCCCGCCGGGGCCA